rnacentral:rRNA from 1 species
UAAGCGGAGGAAAAGAAACUAACAAGGAUUUCCCUAGUAACGGCGAGCGAACGGGAAAGAGCCCAGCCUGAAAAUCGUGGGGGCUUCGGCUCCCUCGAAUUGUAGUCUGGAGAAGGGUCCUCUGUAGCGGACCGGGCCAAGGUUCCCUGGAAAGGGAUGCCAGAGAGGGUGAGAGCCCCGUCUGGCCCGGACCCUGCUGCUUCACGAGGCUCUGUCUACGAGUCGGGUUGCUUGGGAAUGCAGCCUUAAGUCGGUGGUAAGCUCCAUCGAAGGCUAAAUACUGACGAGAGACCGAUAGCGCACAAGUACCGCGAGGGAAAGAUGAAAAGGACUUUGAAAAGAGAGUCAAACAGUGCUUGAAAUUGUUGGGAGGAAAGCGAAUGGAUGCCUUAGGUGCCUGCUGGCUGUGAGUGGAACGGUCUCGGACGCGCGGCCGGUCUGCCGAUCAGUUCAGCGGGCUCGCCAGUGUGGGAGUGGGCGGCGACAUCAAGGGUGGGUGGGCCUCGGUCCCCCACUUACGUUGUCGCCUUCUCCUGGUUUCAGGGAUGCGCCGGUUCUCCGGCAGGGCCUCGGCCCUGGCAUUCCUGUGACGCUGGUGCUCUGGGCGUUCCAUCCGACCCGUCUUGAAACACGGACCAAGGAGUCUAACAUGUACGCGAGCCUGCGGGUGAAAAACCUAGUUAGGCGCAAGGAAACUGAUCCUCUGGGAUCCCCUUGGGGAGCACCAGGCACCGACCCUGAUCUUCUGUGAAAGGUUCGAGUGACAGUGUACCUGUUAGGACCCGAAAGAUGGUGAACUAUGCCUGAGCAGGGCGAAGCCAGAGGAAACUCUGGUGGAGGCUCGUAGCGAUACUGACGUGCAAAUCGUUCGUCGGACUUGGGUAUAGGGGCGAAAGACUAAUCGAACCAUCUAGUAGCUGGUUCCGGGCGAAGUAUCCCUCAGGAUAGCUGGAGCUCUUUCGAGUUUUGUCGGGUAAAGCUAAUGAUUAGAGGCAUCGGGGGUGAAACACCCUCGACCUAUUCUCAAACUUUAAAUAGGCAAGGUGCCGGGGCUGCUCCGGUGAGCCCCGGCCUUGAAUCAGAGCUCCAAGUGGGCCAUUUUUGGUAAGCAGAACUGGCGAUGCGGGAUGAACCGAA